rnacentral:rRNA from 1 species
CCAGGCUUGAACAGCGAGUGACCAUCGACGAAAGUUGACUUCCGCAAGGACACUCGUAGAGGUGCUGCAUGGCUGUCGUCAGCUCGUGUCGUGAGAUGUUGGGUUAAGUCCCGCAACGAGCGCAACCCUUGUCUGCUGUUGCCAUCACGUUAUGGUGGGCACUCUGCAGAGACUGCCGGUGAUAAACCGGAGGAAGGUGGGGAUGACGUCAAGUCAGCAUGGCCUUUAUGUCUGGGGCUACACACGUGCUACAAUGGCCGACACAAACCGUCGCGAUACCGCGAGGUGGAGCUAAUCGGAGAAAGUCGGUCUCAGUUCGGAUAGCAGGCUGCAACUCGCCUGCUUGAAGUUGGAAUCGCUAGUAAUCGCGGAUCAGCACGCCGCGGUGAAUACGUUCCC